GAGUUUGAUCCUGGCUCAGAUUGAACGCUGGCGGCAUGCCUAACACAUGCAAGUCGAACGGCAGCAUGGUCUAGCUUGCUAGACUGAUGGCGAGUGGCGAACGGGUGAGUAACGCGUAGGAAUAUACCUUGAAGUGGGGGACAACCUGGGGAAACCCAGGCUAAUACCGCAUAAGCUCUAAGGAGUAAAGCUGGGGACCUUCGGGCCUGGCGCUUUGAGAUUAGCCUGCGUCCGAUUAGCUAGUUGGAGGGGUAAAGGCCCACCAAGGCGACGAUCGGUAGCUGGUCUGAGAGGAUGGUCAGCCACACUGGGACUGAGACACGGCCCAGACUCCUACGGGAGGCAGCAGUGGGGAAUAUUGGACAAUGGGGGCAACCCUAAUCCAGCAAUGCCGCGUGUGUGAAGAAGGCCUAUGGGUUGUAAAGCACUUUCAGUGGGGAGGAGGACUUGUUGAUUAAGAGUUAAUAAGUUGGACGUUACCCACAGAAGAAGCACCGGCUAACUCCGUGCCAGCAGCCGCGGUAAUACGGAGGGUGCGAGCGUUAAUCGGAAUUACUGGGCGUAAAGGGUGCGUAGGUGGUUUAGUAAGUUGGCUGUGAAAUUCCUGGGCUUAACCUAGGGCGGUCAGCCAAAACUAUUAGACUAGAGUAUGGGAGAGGGUAGUGGAAUUUCCGGUGUAGCGGUGAAAUGCGUAGAGAUCGGAAGGAACACCAGUGGCGAAGGCGUCUGCCUGGCCCAAUACUGACACUGAGGCACGAAAGCGUGGGUAGCAAACAGGAUUAGAUACCCUGGUAGUCCACGCCGUAAACGAUGUCAACUAGCUGUUGGGUACAUGAAGGUACUUAGUGGCGCAGCUAACGCGAUAAGUUGACCGCCUGGGGAGUACGGUCGCAAGAUUAAAACUCAAAGGAAUUGACGG
rnacentral:rRNA from 1 species